rnacentral:rRNA from 1 species
GGGUCAGUAGGUUGGUCGUGCCACCGGUACGUACUGGUCUCACUGAUUCCUCCUUCCUGAAUAACCGUAAUGCCAUUAAUUUGGUGUAGCGGGGAAACAGGACUGUUACUUUGAAAAAAUUAGAGUGUUUAAAGCAAGCUAACGCUUGAAUACAUUAGCAUGGAAUAAUGAAAUAGGACGAUCGAUCCUAUUUUGUUGGUUUCUAGGAUUGACGUA